CUAUGGUAUGUGUUAGAGGGUAGGUCUAUGGUAUGUGUUAGAGGGAUUCAGUAGGUCUAUGGUAUGUGUUAGAGGGAUUCAGUAGGCCUAUGGUAUGUGUUAGAGGGAUUCAGUAGGUCUAUGGUAUGUGUUAGAGGGAUUCAGUAGGUCUAUGGUAUGUGUUAGAGGGAUUCAGUAGGUCUAUGGUAU